UUUUCGGCAAUGGGGGAAACCCUGACCGAGCAAUGCCGCGUGAAUGAUGAAAUUCUUCGGAAUGUAAAAUUCUGUUGUGAGGGAAGAAAGGUAGUAUCAGGAAAUGGGUAUUACUUGACGGUACCUUACUAGAAAGCCCCGGCUAACUAUGUGCCAGCAGCCGCGGUAAUACAUAGGGGGCGAGCGUUAUCCGGAAUUAUUGGGCGUAAAGCGUGCGUAGGCGGUCGUUUAAGUCUGUCGUGAAAGCCCACAGCUUAACUGUGGAGGGUCGAUGGAAACUGGAUGGCUUGAAUCUAGAAGAGGUAAGUGGAAUUCCAUGUGUAGCGGUAAAAUGCUUAGAUAUAUGGAGGAACACCAGUGGCGAAGGCGGCUUACUGGUCUAGCAUUGACGCUGAGGCACGAAAGCGUAGGUAGCAAACAGGAUUAGAUACCCUGGUAGUCUACGCUGUAAACGAUGAGCACUAAGUGUCGGACGUAAGUUCGGUGCUGUAGUUAACGCAUUAAGUGCUCCGCCUGGGGAGUACGUUCGCAAGAAUGAAACUCAAAGGAAUUGACGGGGACCCGCACAAGCGGUGGAGCAUGUGGUUUAAUUCGAAGCAACGCGAAAAACCUUACCAGGCCUUGACAUCCCUAUGACCGCUCUAGAGAUAGAGUUUCCUCUUCGGAGGUAUAGGUGACAGGUGGUGCAUGGUUGUCGUCAGCUCGUGUCGUGAGAUGUUGGGUUAAGUCCCGCAACGAGCGCAACCCUUAUCAUUAGUUGCUAACAUUAAGUUGAGCACUCUAAUGAGACUGCCAGCGACAAGUUGGAGGAAGGUGGGGAUGACGUCAAAUCAUCAUGCCCC
rnacentral:rRNA from 1 species